rnacentral:rRNA from 1 species
AUGGCGCUGGAAAUCGGCGGCGACGCCAAGAGGCCGCGGCUGCCGGCGGCAGCGGUAGACCACCUCUCGGCGCUGCCGGAGCCGCUGCAGCUGCGCAUCCUCUCCUUCCUCCCGCUCAGGUCCGCCAUCCUCGCCUCGUCCCUCUCCCGCGCCUGGCGCGGCCUCUGGGCGCGCCGCUGGGAGGACGACGGGAACCCUUCCCCCUCCCUCCACCACCACCUCCGCCCGCACUCCACCCCCUCUUCCAACAAGCUCCUCGAGGCCCUCGAGCUGCGCCAGUUCCAGGGCCGGCGCGGGCGAAUCGACCGCUACUCCCUCGUCGUGGACACCCUCGCGAUGCGCGCCCGCGGGCUCGACCGCUACUACCUCGUCGUGGACACCCUCGCGAUGCGCGCCCGCGGGCUCGACCGCUACCUCGCCGCCGCCGUCCGCUGCGGCGUCGAGCUGCGGAGGACGCGUCCGGCGGACACGCCCCUCCUCUUCCACUUCCCGGCGGGGGCCGGACCCGCCCUCGCGCGCCUCUCGCUGCGGGGCAUCGGGGUCUCCGGCCUCCAAGGCAGGGCCGCCCGGCCCUGCGCCGCCCUCGAGGCUGUCCUCCUCCACUCCGUCCGCCUCGACGAUAGGGACCUGGCGAGGAUGCUGGCGUUGUGCCCCCGUCUCCGCGUCCUCGGCCUGUGCUCCUGCACGGGCAUCAGUCGUGUCGUCGUGAUGGCAGUGAUGGGGCUCACCAGCCUCAGGAGCGUCACCAUCGUAGACUGCACCUGCCUCAUCGGGGUGGACUUCACGGUGGUCUCUAGCCUCCGGUCCUUUCGCUACAGCGGUGGUUGUUUCUUCUAUCUGCCCGGCGACGCCUUGUUCGCCGACAUCGACAUCCGUUUCGGCGUCAAGAAAAGCCGCAAUGUCCUCAUCUGCCAGAAGGUGUUCAGUGAGUGA